AUGCGGAAGCCCUGGAGGCCGGGAUGCGCGUCCCGCUGCACGGCUUCUUCUGCGACGUGCUCGCCCAUUUCGGCAUCGCGCCGACCCAGCUCGCGCCCCAACGGGUGGCGCAUCUUGGCGGGCUUCCUGGUGCUCUGCCACUCCGCCGGCGUGCCGCCGUCGCUGCCCGUGUUCCGGUACUUCUUCCUGCUGUCGAUCGUCAACCGCAAGCACCGAGGGUGCUACUUCUUCCGAUCCAGGGACACCUCCGGCCUGCGCUUCAAGGGGAUGCCGAGCUGCAUCAAGGACUGGAAGAACUCGUUCUUCUUCCUCUCGUCGCCGGAGCCGUGGCCUUUCCCCGUGGAGUGGGGCGAGCCGUCCAAGAGCUCUUUCAUGGAGCCGGUACUUGACAGCGAGGGGAGGAAACACGCGGCGAAGCUACUGCGCAGUUACGCCGGCGCCGCCGUUGACAUCGACACAUGCCUCUCCGACAGCAACCUUGCAGCCGUCAUGGCACCUGUCGCAUCUACGCCGCCGCCGCCACCUUCGUUUACCCGCAUCACCUCCGAUUCCAAAGGCAUGGAUCCCUCUGUCUACGAGAUGAUGAAGCAUAUGCUGGCGGAGAAGGCGGCCGCUCAGGCGUCGGCGUCGGCGAAGAAGGCGAAAGCCGAGCCGGGCCGCCACGCGCCAGGGUCGCCGCCAUUGUGCGCAAAGAAGAGGAAUCUGGAGGAAGCCAACAGGGAGGAGGGCCCGCCUCGUUCUCUGCUGAACACGCCGCUGUCCGGCAUGCGCUCGCCACCGCCGGGGUUCCCCAUCAGCCACGACGGAGACGGCACGGGCUGGGAGGCUGCACGGGAGCUGCUGCAGGGCGCCGUCGCGCCACCGCAGCACCGUGCGUUCGCGGCGAACGAGCCGUCCGAUGUCGUCGCGGCGAGCUAUGUUGCGAUUCUCCAGGCGGCGAACUACGUGUCGACCUCCUUGGGCUACGCGCUGGAGCUGCAAGGGAAGCUGGCGGUGCGGGACGCGGAGGUCGCGGCGCUAGAGAAGCAGCUGAAGGAGACGAAGGCCGAGCUCGCCGCGGCCAGGGCCAGGGCGGAGCGGGAGAGUGCCAGAGGGGCGCGGGCGGCGGCUCGCGGAGCACGCGCUGGAGCGCUGGAGGAGUGGUAG
rnacentral:rRNA from 1 species